rnacentral:rRNA from 1 species
AGACGGAGGGUGCAAGCGUUAAUCGGAAUUACUGGGCGUAAAGCGCUCGUAGGCGGCUUGUUAAGUCGGAUGUGAAAGCCCCGGGCUCAACCUGGGAAUGGCAUUCGAUACUGCCUGACUAGAGUAUGGUAGAGGGAAGUGGAAUUUCGGGUGUAGCGGUGAAAUGCGUAGAUAUCCGAAGGAACAUCAGUGGCGAAGGCGACUUGCUGGACUAAUACUGACGCUGAGGAGCGAAAGCGUGGGGAGCAAACGGGAUUAGAAACCCCAGUAGUCC